AAACUGAAGAGUAUGAUCAUGGCUCAGAUUGAACGUUGGCGGCAGGCCUCAUACAUGCAAGUCGAACGCGAAAGGCCCUUCGGGGCUGAGUAGAGUGGCGAACGGGUGAGUAACGCGUAGGAAUCUACCCGGCAGUGGGGGACAACUCGGGGAAACUCGAGCUAAUACCGCAUGUGAUCGCCGGCAUUCGUGCCGGCGAUGAAAGCGGGGGAUCUCACCGUCGCGACUUCGGUUGCGGCGGAAGGACCUCGCGCUGUCGGAGGAGCCUGCGUUGGAUUAGCUUGUUGGUGGGGUAAUGGCCCACCAAGGCGACGAUCCAUAGCUGGUCUGAGAGGACGAUCAGCCACACUGGGACUGAGACACGGCCCAGACGGCUACGGUCGGCAGCAGUAGGGAAUAUUGCACAAUGGGCGAAAGCCUGAUGCAGCCAUGCCGCGUGUGUGAAGAAGGCCUUAGGGUUGUAAAGCACUUUCAGUGGCGAAGAAAAAGCCGGCGUUAAUACCGCCGGCCAUUGACGUUAACCACAGAAGAAGCACCGGCCAACUCCGUGCCAGCAGCCGCGGUAAUACGGAGGGUGCGAACGUUAAUCGGAAUUACUGGGCGUAAAGCGCGCGUAGGCGGUUUGUUAAGUGAGAUGUGAAAGCCCCGGGCUCAACCUGGGAACUGCGUUUCAAACUGGCAAACUAGAGUUCAGUAGAGGGAGGUGGAAUUUCCUGUGUAGCGGUGGAAUGCGUAGAUAUAGGAAGGAACACCAGUGGCGAAGGCGGCCUCCUGGACUGAAACUGACGCUCAUGUGCGAAAGCGUGGGGAGCAAACAGGAUUAGAUACCCUGGUAGUCCACGCCGUAAACGAUGAGAACUAGCCGUUUGGCCCCUCGAGGGCUUAGUGGCGCAGCUAACGCGAUAAGUUCUCCGCCUGGGGAGUACGGCCGCAAGGUUAAAACUCAAAUGAAUUGACGGGGGCCCGCACAAGCGGUGGAGCAUGCUGUUCAAUUAGAGGCAACGCUAAGAACCUUACCACCAUUUGACAUCCACGGAACUUUCCAGAGAUGGAUUGGUGCCUUCGGGAACCGUGUGACAGGUGCUGCAUGGCUGUCGUCAGCUCGUGUCGUGAGAUGUUGGGUUAAGUCCCGCAACGAGCGCAACCC
rnacentral:rRNA from 1 species